GACGAACGCUGGCGGCGUGCCUAACACAUGCAAGUCGAGCGGAGCCAACCGAACAAUCCCUUCGGGGAGCGUUUGGGGAAGCUUAGCGGCGGACGGGUGAGUAACGCGUGAGUAACCUGCCCAUUAGUGGGGAAUAACACAGAGAAAUUUGUGCUAAUACCGCAUACGGAAUAACCAAGGCAUCUUGGAAGUUUAAAAGAUUUAUCGCUAAUGGAUGGACUCGCGUCUGAUUAGAUAGUUGGUAGGGUAACGGCCUACCAAGUCAACGAUCAGUAGCCGAACUGAGAGGUUGAUCGGCCACAUUGGGACUGAGACACGGCCCAGACUCCUACGGGAGGCAGCAGUGGGGGAUAUUGCGCAAUGGGGGAAACCCUGACGCAGCAACGCCGCGUGCAGGAUGACGGCC
rnacentral:rRNA from 1 species